rnacentral:rRNA from 1 species
UUGCACGCUGGCGGCAUGCCUUACACAUGCAAGUCGCACGGUAACAGGUCUUCGGAUGCUGACGAGUGGCGAACGGGUGAGUAAUACAUCGGAACGUGCCCGAUCGUGGGGGAUAACGGAGCGAAAGCUUUGCUAAUACCGCAUACGAUCUACGGAUGAAAGCAGGGGACCGCAAGGCCUUGCGCGGACGGAGCGGCCGAUGGCAGAUUAGGUAGUUGGUGGGAUAAAAGCUUACCAAGCCGACGAUCUGUAGCUGGUCUGAGAGGACGACCAGCCACACUGGGACUGAGACACGGCCCAGACUCCUACGGGAGGCAGCAGUGGGGAAUUUUGGACAAUGGGCGAAAGCCUGAUCCAGCCAUGCCGCGUGCAGGAUGAAGGCCUUCGGGUUGUAAACUGCUUUUGUACGGAACGAAAAGACUCUUUCUAAUAAAGAGGGUCCAUGACGGUACCGUAAGAAUAAGCACCGGCUAACUACGUG